AUUUUCUUAGUAUAUCAAGUAUAGAUGUCUUCCAAUCACCAGGCCUUGGUUCAACCCCAAGAGAAAAUA
rnacentral:tRNA from 1 species